rnacentral:rRNA from 1 species
UACGUAGGUGGCAAGCGUUGUCCGGAUUUAUUGGGUUUAAAGGGUGCGUAGGCGGUUCUAUAAGUCAGUGGUGAAAUACGGCAGCUCAACUGUCGAGGUGCCAUUGAUACUGCAGAACUUGAGUACAGACGAGGUAGGCGGAAUUGACGGUGUAGCGGUGAAAUGCUUAGAUAUCGUCAAGAACACCGAUAGCGAAGGCAGCUUACUAGACUGUAACUGACGCUGAGGCACGAAAGUGUGGGGGAUCAAACAGGG